UUGUAGGGGCAUACACAGAACGAACGGGCA
rnacentral:piRNA from 1 species